UACGUAGGUGGCAAGCGUUAUCCGGAAUUACUGGGCGUAAAGCGCACGCAGGCGGUCUUGUAAGUUUGACGUGAAAGCUCCCGGCUUAACUGGGAGAGGUCGUUGAAGACUGCAAGACUUGAGGAAAUGAGAGGGGUGUAGAAUUCCCGGUGUAGUGGCGGAAUGCGUAGAUAUCGGGGGGAAUACCAGUGGCGAAAGCGGCACCCUAGCAUUUUUCUGACGCUCAUGUGCGAAAGCGUGGGGAGCGAACGGG
rnacentral:rRNA from 1 species